rnacentral:rRNA from 1 species
CCUACGGGUGGCAGCAGUGGGGAAUAUUGCGCAAUGGGCGAAAGCCUGACGCAGCGACGCCGCGUGGGGGAGGAAGGCCCCAGGGUUGUAAACCCCUGUCAGGUGGGACGAACCUCGUAGUGACGAACAGCCACUACGACUGACGGUACCACCAGAGGAAGCUCCGGCUAACUCCGUGCCAGCAGCCGCGGUAAUACGGAGGGAGCAAGCGUUGUUCGGAAUUACUGGGCGUAAAGGGCGCGUAGGCGGCCUUGUAAGUCGCAUGUGAAAUGCCGGGGCUCAACCCCGUGCACUGCACGCGAUACUGCAUGGCUAGAGAGAGGUAGGGGCGAGCGGAAUUCCCGGUGUAGCGGUGGAAUGCGUAGAUAUCGGGAAGAACACCUGUGGCGAAGGCGGCUCGCUGGACCUCUUCUGACGCUGAAGCGCGAAAGCGUGGGGA